GGUGAAACCAAGAAGAAGAAGAGGCGGAAGCGGGUGCGUGGGACAGCGAGAGGAGAACACGUGCUUGAGAUAAAGAGAGAAAGGCUCGUGAAUUAUCAGAAAUCACUUUUCCUGUCUUUCCUUUUUUAUUUGACUGAAGCUGAGCACUUUUGGUUAAAAAAAAAGAAAAAGGAAAAAAAAAAAACCGUGAGCACAUAUUUUAUAUACAUACGGAAAUAGUAAUUAGGAGUUUCACAUAAAUAUAUAUGAACAUGAUACAUUUGAACACUGCUAGCCUAAACAUAUUCCUGCCAUGGAGAACACCACCACAUUGUCCUGCAGAAACAUUUCUGAUGGUGAUGGUUACACUUACAAAGUGCCGUCUUAUAUACCAUCUGCUCUACUGCAGGACGAGGACUGUGAGCAAGAGUGGAUAAAUAAGGCAAGGGAGUUUUUGUCAGAUGGACAUCAUCAUGCAAAUAAAACUGAGCACCCACUGGUUCGUAAUGAAACCAUAAAAAACAUCAAAGUCUCCGAAUGCAUCGAGCUUCGCCAUUCUGUGACCUGUCAUGGAUCGAGUCAAAAGUUUAUACACACUUACCAAGUGAUCAAUGACACCGCCCUGAGUUUUGAGCAGCAAUCCAAUAGCACCAACACCACCAUCAUCUCUGUCGUCGUUCCCCUUAUUCUGAUUGUAGUCCUGAUUGUAGGCCUGCACUACAUAAAAAGGUACAACAAGAAAAGAGAAGCCGUGUCAAAAGUAGUCAUAUCAAUGAAGAAGCUCAACCAGACCAAGCCAUGGAAUUUGGUUGUUGGUGUUGUCAGUGGUGUUGUGACUCCUGCCAGAGGGAACGCCACCACAUUGUCCUGCAGAAACAUUUCUGCUGGUGAUAUUUACACGUACCCAGUGCCGUCUUAUAUACCAUCUGCUGUACUGUGGAACAAGGACUGUGAGCAAGAGUGUUACAAUGAGGAAGGGGAGUUUUUGUCAGAUGGACGACAACAAGCAAAUAAAACUGAGCACCUACUGGUUCUUAAUGAAACCAUAAACAUCGCAGUCUCUGAAUGCAUCAAUCUUCACCAUUCUGUGACCUGUCAUGGAUCAAAUGAAAAGUUUAAACACACUUACCGAGUGAUCAAUGACACGAUCUCAAGCCAAGAUGUUCCUAAGCAGCAAACCGAUCGCACCACCACCAUCGUCUCUGUCGUCAUUCCGAUUGGACUCCUGCUGAUUGGACUCCUGAUUAGUGUCCUGAUAUGUCUCCACAAAAAACGAAGAUCAGACAUCCCACUGGAGGACAUUACAGCAAGAAACACGGAAGGUGAAGCUCAACUGAACACCUCAAAUACUGAAAACAUGGACCCUGGUGAUACGAGCGCUAACGGCGAUGUUCAAACUGAAGAAGCUCGACCACUCCAACCAUAUCCUUACAGUGUAAGAGUUAAACCUUUACUACUGUAUGUAGAUGAACAGGACUGAUGGGAAUGAAUAUUGCUAGAUGGAUGGAGAUGAUGUGAUGGAUAAGUACAUUAUUAUAUAAUUAGAAAGAUGAAUGUAUAAAUGUAAUGUAUGAAUGAUUUUCUAUAUUCUUUAAUUAUUUUAUUUCUUUACUGUGUUUUGUCUGUCAGUGAUGUGUGCAGAGUCGUCGAGAGCGAGUGAGGAUUACGGUUCGGCUUCAGAACUUCUCUCCAGUCUGCUUCUGCCUUUUCUUCAGUCGCACUUUCCCUACACUUUUGCAUCUGGGACACUUUGAAAGUAAAAUUAAGUAGUUAAACUGAGACCGUGGUAUUAUAGGGCUCUACAUAAAAGUGCCAAAUUUUUAAUCAUGACAAAGCAGAUCAAAUUUUUAUACUUUAAUAGUGUUUUGGUGUAAAAAAUAUAUUUUCAUAUAUAUUACUUGCUAUAAAAAUAACAUUUAUAAGAACUAAUUUUUGCCAAAGAAAGGGAAGCUCAAACCAAAGAACCCCAAGAAAAAAAAAAAAACACUUUUCUGCACUUUAAAACACUGCACAUCCUUCUGCACUUUUGUUAUGCUCUACCCUUUUAACUGUGACGAUAGCUGGGGCUGGGCAGCUUCGAGUUGUCAACACUCACCUGAUUGCGCUCCUGGUUUUGACUGCUUCAUCCGAUCCGUGUUUUACUCUGCUAUUUCCGGUAUUGAACUGUGCCAGUUGUGACUAUGAACUUGAUCUUUGCCUUGAUUUUUGUUGGCUACGUAGCUACUGUGUGUGGGAGGCUGCACCAGAACAUCUCUACUACCCUACUACACAGUAGAUGAAAAGCAGUACACCAAAGGAGGAGCAUCUCAGAAUUCUCAGCAUUCAUACAACAGUAUUUAAGAAAUCCCCAGAUGACCUACUGCUUCCCCCGAGAUUCUGCAGUGUGGAAUAACUGGACACUGUGCUAUCCCAUAAUGCAACGUGGCAUGGAAGAGCUGUCAGAAUCAAACCUGGCGCAUCGGCUUUUUAAGCUGUAGGUCACAUGACUAUGCCAACCUGGUGGCUGUAGUGCUUAUAAGCCCUUUCCUUAACUUGCACUGUGGGGCCAAACCUUAGACUGGGUUGUCAUCAACACUACUCUACGUCAUUGAAUCAACGCUAUAGAGAGCACAGCUGGUGGCUUCAUCAGCAGCCCAGUGCUUGUUCCUUUUUAUUUUCUCAUUGUGAUUGACCUUUGCUAUCUCCUUUAUUUUUUAUGUCUGUAAUUUUUUUUGUGCAUGUGUAAAUUUGUUAGCAUUCUUUAUAUACUGUUACCAGGUGUAGGGUUCAGCUGCCAUUUCUUUCUGGGUUUUGUCUGUUUUAUUUUAUUUUUAUUUAUUUUAUAUUACCAAUAUUGCACAAGUAUGUGUGUAUGUAAUUCAUAAACCGAAGUAUUCUUAGUAGUCUUUUUUUCUUUUUCUUUAGCCAUCCAUCUUUUAUCCCAGUCAAACCUAUCCUGUUAUCUUCAACCCUAGACUGGGGUGCAUCACUGUCCUCCAUUCCAGAAAAUCUGAGACAGCAACAAAAGAGAGACAAUUUUUAGAAAGUAACAAGUCUGUUUUUACAGAAGGAAGGGAAUUGGUGGCGCAACCUAUCAUAACCCUGUAACAGGAAGUCUUAUUUCUGCCCCCAUAAUGGUGAAAUUUAACUUGGCUCAGGAGCAGAUCGAGUGGAAAGUAAAGUGCACAUGUCUCAGUGCUUCUGAUAUUUUAACAAAAAUAUAUUUGGACGCUCAAUUCGUUACCCCACUCUCACUAAUAAACUCUCUCUGUGUGUGUGUAUGUGUGAGAGCAAGAGAGAGAUUGAUAACACCUGUCUGUUCAGAUCUGUGACACAAGUUAGUAAGAAAAUAAAGUUGAUAAUAAGUAAGCAAGAGGGAGGUUUCAUACUUGACCAAAAUUGAGGGUUUAAAAUAGAGCUUUUUCUGGAAUAUUUCUCAAACCCACUUCAGCAUUCCAGUAAACAUGCA
ensembl:lncRNA